GAUGAACGCUGGCGGCGUGCCUAAUACAUGCAAGUCGAACGAAAAGAUGAGGAGCUUGCUCCUCUGACGUUAGCGGCGGACGGGAGUGUAACACGUGGAUACCCUACCUAUAAGUCUGAGAACACUACGGGACACCGGAGCUAACACCGGAUAAUAUAUUGCACCACGUGGGUCGAUAGAGAAAGACGGUUUUGCUGUCUCGUAUAGCUGCAUCCGCGCCGCAUUAGCUAGUUGGUACGGUAACGGCUUACCAAGGCAACGAGGCGUAGCCGAACUGAGAGGGUGGUAGGCGACACUGGAACUUAGACAGGGACCAGACGCCUAAGAGAGGCAGCAGUAGGCAAUCGGCCGCAAUGGGCGGAAGCAUGACGGAGCAACGCGGCGUGAGUGACGAAGGUCUUCGGUGCGUAAAACUCUGUUUCUGGGUAAGAACAAAUUUGGAAUUUACCAUGGACGUCGUGACGGUACUGAAUCAGGAAGCAACGGCUAACUACGUG
rnacentral:rRNA from 1 species